GAAGGUAUAGCUCAGUGGUACAGUGUGUGCUUAGUAUGCCUGGGGUCCUGGGUUCAAUCCCCAGUACCUCUG
rnacentral:tRNA from 1 species